ensembl:lncRNA
GCCAGGUGGGCCACUUUGAGAUCAGCAACAAGUCCAGAGUCCAGACUUAUUUAUAAACCCACAGGAAAAGUUCCAGGGCCUGCUCUACCAUAUGACCUGGACUAAGGUGAAGAAAGAUUAGUGUGAAAGGACAGGAAGUCCUCUGUGGCCAAAUGGGUUUCCAGUGUAAGCCAUUUGCCCUUUUCAGUCAGGAAGAAGCUAUAAAUUGAUCUCUAGAGUGUCAGCAUACCUAGACUCCUAUAAAAGCUAUGAUCUCAAGGUACAGAGCUUGACCUUUUAGGGGUUGUUUAUGAAAGUUAAUUACAACUUGCAUCAUGGAGAUCACUGACUCAUGUACAGGGAUACAGUGGAGAAUAAGGCAGGCAGGGUCCCUGUCCUCAUGGAGUUUACUUUCUGACGAGGGAGAUGGACAAACUGAUAAAUACAUGAGAACUUCAUGUGCUGCAAGAAAAUAAAAACACAGCAAUAGGACAGAGGUUUAUGUGAGGAAGAAUAUUUCAGCUAAAGGGAUCUAAGAAACCUUUUGGACAGAGCAACACUGAAGCAGAGAUUUGACUGCUGCGAAGACCCAAAGAAAGUAGCAGUACACUGAAAAGAACCUACUAUGUGCCAAGCAUGGACCUGAGGUAGAGCUGCGAACAAGUACAGUAGUGACCACAUGGAACAAGUGUGGACCCUGGACUCACACUGCCUCUGUUUACCUCCUGCCUUUGCUGCUUUGGUACCCUCUGACUUGGGCAGCAUACUUAAUUUUGUGAAGACUUAGUUCCCCUUCUGUAGAAGGAGUAAAUCUAGUAGCACUUACUCUAUGGCAUUAAACAACUAAAUUAAAUUUAGUCUGGGCAGAGUAAAGCAACUGAGAAAUUUCAAUGUCCUGUUGCAGCAAAACAAUAACAGUUUCGGUGUGCAUUCAUUUAUUUGCUCAUAUGGUCAUUCAUUCAUUCUUCCUUUCAUUCAAUAAAGGAUCUCUCAGCAAAUUUCUAUUCUGUUCCAGCUGCUGGGCUGUAGGGAACAAUGAUGAAUGUACAGCCUUAUAUCUGCUCUCAGAGGGGUAGAGUUUUUCUGUGUUCAGACCAUAAAGCUAAGCAUGGUGGCCUAUGUUUGUAAUCCCAGCAGGCAGGAGAAUCAGGAGCCAGACCAUGUCUCCUAAGAAAAGGAUAGAAAAUAAGCACAUUAGCCUGGUAAGUAAGUGUGUGAGUGUCAGGAGCUUCACAUGUAGAUAUGUGGGGUGCUCUGGAGGCUGAUGCACACGAGGGCAUGUGUUGUUUUGGUCAUGGG